AAAUUGCUAUUUUUUGAAAAGUUUAGGCAUUAAUUGCAUUUCCAACCGAGGCAGUAACGGGCUUAUUGUCUCGGUUUUCUACUUAACCGAGGUAAUAUCCUUUUCAGGGGUUACAUUUCCAAAAACGUAAAAAGGUUUAUUCUCACGCGAACAAUCUUUCCUUUUCCCCACGAGCACAUAACGUUGUUUCUCCCUCGCGCAAACUGAGUUUCGUUUCCCCUUCACU
rnacentral:lncRNA from 1 species